AGAGUUUGAUCAUGGCUCAGGACGAACGCUGGCGGCAGGCUUAACACAUGCAAGUCGAGCGGAAACGGCAUAGGCAAUCCCUUUCGGGGUGCGCUUAUGGACGUCGAGCGGCGGACGGGUGAGUAAUGCCUGGGAAUCUGCCUGGUAGUGGGGGAUAACUUGCCGAAAGGUAAGCUAAUACCGCGUACGCCCUACGGGGGAAAGCAGGGGAUCUUCGGACCUUGCGCUAUCAGAUGAGCCCAGGCCGGAUUAGCUAGUUGGUAGGGUAAAGGCCUACCAAGGCGACGAUCCGUAGCUGGUCUGAGAGGAUGAUCAGCCACACCGGGACUGAGACACGGCCCGGACUCCUACGGGAGGCAGCAGUGGGGAAUAUUGGACAAUGGGGGGAACCCUGAUCCAGCCAUGCCGCGUGUGUGAAGAAGGUCUUCGGAUUGUAAAGCACUUUAAGUUGGGAGGAAGAGCUCCGGGCUAAUACCCUGCGAGUUUUGACGUUACCAACAGAAUAAGCACCGGCUAACUUCGUGCCAGCAGCCGCGGUAAUACGAAGGGUGCGAGCGUUAAUCGGAAUUACUGGGCGUAAAGGGUGCGUAGGCGGCCCUUUAAGUCGGAUGUGAAAGCCCGCGGCUUAACCGCGGAAUGGCAUUCGAAACUGGAGGGCUUGAGUGUCGGAGAGGGUAGUGGAAUUCCCAGUGUAGCGGUGAAAUGCGUAGAUAUUGGGAGGAACACCAGUGGCGAAGGCGACUACCUGGACGAUAACUGACGCUGAGGCACGAAAGCUAGGGGAGCAAACAGGAUUAGAUACCCUGGUAGUCCUAGCCGUAAACGAUGGGUACUAGGUGUGGGUGGUUUCGAUACCAUCCGUGCCGUAGUUAACGCAUUAAGUACCCCGCCUGGGGAGUACGUGCGCAAGCAUGAAACUCAAAUGAAUUGACGG
rnacentral:rRNA from 1 species